rnacentral:rRNA from 1 species
GGCGUCCAUUAAGCCUAUACAUUUGCUCUUGACCUCGGAUCAGGUAGGUAUACCCGCUGAACUUAAGCAUAUCAAUAAC